rnacentral:rRNA from 1 species
UACGUAGGGGGCAAGCGUUGUCCGGAAUCAUUGGGCGUAAAGAGCGUGUAGGCGGUUCGAUAAGUCUGCUGUGAAAGUCCAGGGCUCAACCCUGGAAUGCCGGUGGAUACUGUUGGACUAGAGUCCGGAAGAGGCGAGUGGAAUUCCUGGUGUAGCGGUGAAAUGCGCAGAUAUCAGGAGGAACACCAAUGGCGAAGGCAGCUCGCUGGGACGGUACUGACGCUGAGACG